UUCCCUCGAUCGAAAAGCGAUGCACUUUCCCCAUAGACUUUAGGAAAAUCGCCAAAAAUAAGAUCUGCGUUUAACAAAGAGUUGUGACCCUUACACGUUUUGUCUAUCAAGAUAAUCUUUACAAGUUAAUCCAAAAUGUAUACAUUUUGAAGCCUAUAUAAAUUUAAAAAAAAAACACAAGCAAGUUAUAACUGUGUGUUCUAUGUCAUAGAUCAAAACGUGAAAAUAUUUAGAGGCUUUGUUCACAGACCUUAUUUCAGGCGAUUUAGCAAAAACCCAUUCAAAAAUCCCAUAGAGUUUAGAGCGAGGGAA